rnacentral:rRNA from 1 species
AGUGAACGCUGGCGGUAGGCCUAACACAUGCAAGUCGAACGGCAGCACAGUAAGAGCUUGCUCUUACGGGUGGCGAGUGGCGGACGGGUGAGGAAUACAUAGGAAUCUACUUUUUCGUGGGGGAUAACGUAGGGAAACUUACGCUAAUACCGCAUACGACCUACGGGUGAAAGCAGGGGAUCUUCGGACCUUGCGCGAUUGAAUGAGCCGAUGUCGGAUUAGCUAGUUGGCGGGGUAAAGGCCCACCAAGGCGACGAUCCGUAGCUGGUCUGAGAGGAUGAUCAGCCACACUGGAACUGAGACACGGUCCAGACUCCUACGGGAGGCAGCAGUGGGGAAUAUUGGACAAUGGGCGCAAGCCUGAUCCAGCCAUACCGCGUGGGUGAAGAAGGCCUUCGGGUUGUAAAGCCCUUUUGUUGGGAAAGAAAAGCAGCAGGUUAAUACCCCGCUGUUCUGACGGUACCCAAAGAAUAAGCACCGGCUAACUUCGU